GGAACGAGAGACAAAGACGUGCGUGUACGUUUGCUCACCCGCGUUUCUAUGCUUUGUAGAUAUGUGUGCGUGCGUGCGUGCGCGCGCACGAAUAUGUUUGUAAGAGAGCGAGAUAGAGAAAGAGAAACUGGUAAGUAUGCAGGAAAGCGAUGCUCUCAUCGAUCUCUAUUCCCAACGCAGUCCGUUUCACUGGACGCGAGACUCGCGCGAGCGUAUUUACAUUAUCAUAAACUGGACCUCUCGCAUGCGCACGCGCGGCUCGUUGUCUCUAAGCUGGAGAAAGGAGAAGAGAGUUAAAGGAAGAUAAAGGUCGGAGUCGCGGACGAGCGAGAACGAACCGGCCGAAAGGUACAUUGGCGUCGUCUCAUCUUCGAUUCGAAUUCGUUCCUUUGAAAUAACAAUUAUUUUGAUCGAUUAAUUUUUGUGAUGAGUACAUAAACGUUAAUUGUUCCAUAAAUAUUUUGUUUAAAACGUUCGAUCGUAUUAAAUUUAAUGUUAUCGUCACACCGGUAUCGUAAAAUUUUAAGAUUAAAUUUAAAUGUAUAUAUUACCUCUUAUAGAGGUUUACAUGUGGCCGCCAAUGAAUAAGAACGACGGAACUAGCGCGCAUAACGACAAGCGUGCCGCAUAAUGCACGGAAAUUUAUGGCGUCGUCUCGGCGCAAAUUACCGCCCUUGAACCGUCGCCGUGCAGCACAUUAUUUCACACCGAAACGGGGGAUUAUUUGAUUUCUCCAGAUGCAAAGAUGCUCCGACUCAAAGGCUUUUCCCCACGCCAUGAUCUUCGUGCUACUUACUAUCAGCCUAUGGGUUUUUCUUUCUCUUCUUCUCAUACUUGAAAGAAGAAUACCUUAUGUAUUAUCAAGAAAUAUGAUAUCUAUGUAAAGAAUCCAACAUCAGCGUUCAACGAAAAUAACGAUAAAAUUAGAUAAUUUUAAUGAAAAUUCAUAGAUUUGAACAAAGAAAAGUCCCAAAAAAAAAAAAAAAAUAAAAAAGAAGAAGAUUAAAAUCUCUCAUAUGUAAAAUAUUUAAUUUUAAAUAAAUAAAGAAAGAAAGAAAGAAAGAAAGAAAGAAAGAAAGAAAAAAGAACAUUUAAUGUGACACAAGUCUUACGUAUUUCACCAUUUUUUCGUUGGUAAUAUAAUAUUUCUAUAAAAGGAUAGAAAAAUCAAAGGACAAAAACAUUAUCUGUUCGACAUUGUACGUGAUAUAUCUCCAGGUAUAAAUUUUUUUUUAAACUUCUAUAGACAUUGUCUGAUAAAUUGAUUGAUAAAAUUAAAAUUGCAUUAGAUCGAUAAAUAGUUAAUACUUCUCGAAAAAGUCUUAAAGAAAGAGUUUGCAUCGAAGCUUGGAACUCGUCCAACAAGCUCGACUCGCGGGUUUGUCUCAGUCGUCUCGACUGCCUCUUACUUAGAAGCAGGACGGAAGCCGAGCACGGUAACGAACGCGGUCCCGUCUCGCGGUAUCCGUUCUUCCGCGAGUGAAGAGCUAUGAAGUCAGGAAGGAAGGAAAGCAAGCAACGACAGCGAAAAAGAGAGCUGGAAGAGUCCCUCGCUUGUUCGUCUUCUUUUUCUCCUCCUCUUCCUCCUCCACCACCUCCACCUUCUUCUUCUCCAGCUCCUCCUGUUCCUCAUUUUCUUCUUCUUGCUUAAGAGAAAGAGAUAGAGAGUUCGUUGUCCUGGCACCAUCGAGAAACGACGGCAAACAGCAAGCCGAGAGAUUAGCAUAAUACAUUACGAGUCGCGAUAGAAAGAGAGAACAGAGAAAGAGAGAAAGAGAGAAAGAGAGAGAGAGAGAAAUAUAGAGAGGAACCGGACGUCUCAUUUGAGAACCGCUUUUGGCGCCAGACGCAACCUGGAAUGCGGUUCCCAACUCCUCCGGGAAAGGAGGACUUUUCUUCGGCACGUGGCUAUCUCCCACGCGAGGCCACGUGUCCUCCAUCCGGAAGGUGGGACGAUGAGUAUGCCCGCUCAAAUUCUGCCAGCUGCUGUCCCCGCUUUUGCUACCGGCUUGCUGCCGGGGUGCACGUCCUAUUUAGGCCGCGGCACGUCCACUCUAUCCAUACAACCACGUGAACGUCCAAUCAACGUCGACCAGAAUCCAAUGGAACGUUUGCUAUGGAAUCUAAUUCUGGACUAGUGCCUUGUGGUGUUUAAUUGGGGAAGUCCAAUUCCGGGGAUGUGAUUUCUAUAUUGUGUAUCUUUUCUCUUUUAUUAUAUUUUUCAUAUCCUCCGA